CCCGCCGGGCUGAGGUGGCGGAGCUCGGGGCCCCGUUGUCCCCAGCGUCGAGCGGGAGGCCGGUCCGCGGAGCUGCCGCGGCCGUGCCUGAGAGGAUCUUCAGGACUGCAAUGCCCGCUGCUGCUCCUUCUUACACACCUUGCCCUUCUCGUGAGAGUUAAGGACGCUGUCGAGAAGACUUUUAAAUAGACGCGGCUCCUAUCUUUACUCUUUCUACUGAAGAAAUCAUAGAUGAUGGCUUCUGACGCUAGUCAUAUGCUGGAAGCAGCUUUGGAGCAGAUGGAUGACAUCAUUGCAGGUACAAAGUCAGCUACAGAGUAUGCUAAUGGUGGUUAUGAUAUUGUGUCACCUGCUCCAUCAGUAUACUUGGGCACAUUUCAAAUUUUGCAUCUGCUGGAAGAUCUAAAGAUGGCACUGGAAAUGCUAGAGGAUCCUCAAGAGAAAGAAGCAUUGCGAAAUCAAAUUCCAGGGGCCACAGCAGUGUGUAUACGGGAGUGGUUUGAAGAGAAUCUGUCACAGGUGAAUCAUCAUUCAUCUAAUAAUGAAACAUAUCAAGAAAGAUUGGCACGAUUAGAAGGUGAUAAAGAGUCGCUCAUACUGCAGGUGAGUGUUCUUACAGACCAAGUGGAAGCUCAAGGAGAGAAAAUCCGGGACUUAGAAAUCUGUCUUGAAGGGCAUCAGUUGAAACUGAAUGCUACAGAAGAAAUGCUUCAACAGGAGUUGCUAAGUCGAACAUCACUAGAGACUCAGAAAUUAGAUCUAAUGGCUGAAGUUUCAGACCUGAAGAUUAAGCUGGUUGGUAUGGAAAAGGAGCAGAGUGAAUAUGAAGAGAAACAGACCAAAGCUGAGGGUUUGCUACAGGAACUUAGACACCUCAAAAUUAAAGUGGAAGAACUGGAAAAUGAAAGAAAUCAGUAUGAAUGGAAAUUAAAAGCAACUAAAGCUGAGAUAGCCCAGCUUCAGGAGCAAUUAGCUCUUAAAGAUGCAGAAAUAGAACGCUUACAAAGUCAGCUAUCCAGGACCUCAUCACAUAGCGAAGUGGCAGAAAGAGAGGAAGUUUAUAGGAGAAGGCUAAAAGAAAAACAUCAAGAAGUUCAAAGGUUGAAGAUAGGAAUGGAAUCGUUAUUGGCUGCAAAUGAAGAAAAGGACCGUCGAAUAGAAGAGCUAACGCUGUUGCUAAGCCAGUACAGGAGGGUCAAAGAGAUAAUGAUUGCAGCUCACGGUCUUGUACGGCAGAAUGGACACUUGUAUUUAACACACAAGAACAGGGAACGAGAGUCAGGCUCUUCUGUCUCUGGGGGCAGUGAAGAGGAACUUGAGACAACUUUAAGGAAGUGGACUCUUUUGACUAAUCCUCAAGGAGAAUUAUUGAAAACAGAGGCCUCUUCAGGAGAAUUAUCACCAGCUGUGCUCUCUCCGUCGCCUCACAAAGCUAUGGAAAUCAGUGGAAGCAUUCCAGUAUCUUCAACUAAUUUAACCUCUCCACCAGAAGAAUCUCUGGAAAUCAUCAGUAGGGUUCCACAGAAAAAAAAGUCAAGUAGUUUAGAAGACUUGCAGAGUGAAUCCCUGGAAAAGUAUGUAGACGGAAAACCAGUACAGCCUGUUGUAGAACAAGAGAGUAAGCCGCUUGCAAAAGGCAGCAAGUACCAAACCUUGCCAGGGAAGCUGCCUCGACCACUGCAGAACGGAGAGCAGGGAACAUGUAAUUCACCCGAUGGGUCUGGCGUGACCGACAGCGAGGACAGCAGCUUCCUGGGCCUGAGAGACACAGAGAACGUGGAUGGUACAGUGGUCUCAGAUGACCUUUCGCCUCUUUCUUCGGGAAUGGAUUCAGGCCCACAAUCUCCAUUGUCUCCAGAAAACAGGAAGAGUCCAAAAGGGAUCAAGAAAAUUUGGGGAAAAAUAAGAAGAACUCAGUCAGGUAACUUCCCUGCAGACGACCUGGGGUUGGCAGAGUUUCGAAGAGGUGGUCUCCGUGCAACAGCUGGGCCUCGGUUGUCCAGAUCAAAGGAAACCAAAGGCCAGAAAAGUGACUACAAUGCUCCGUUUGCUCAGUGGAGCACUGAAAGAGUUUGUAACUGGCUUGAGGACUUUGGUCUUGGUCAGUACGUCAUCUUUGCACGGCAGUGGGUGACUUCAGGCCAUAUGCUGUUGACUGCGACACCUCAGGACAUGGAAAAGGAAAUGGGAAUAAAGCAUCCACUGCACAGGAAGAAAUUAGUUUUGGCCAUUAAAUCAAUAAAUGCAAAACAAGAUGAGAAGUCUGCACAGCUCGAUCAUAUCUGGGUGACACGAUGGCUCGAUGACAUUGGUUUACCUCAGUACAAAGACCAGUUUCAUGAAGCCAGAGUGGAUGGGAGAAUGUUGCAGUAUUUAACUGUGAAUGACCUUCUCUUUCUGAAAGUCACCAGUCAGCUGCAUCACCUGAGUAUUAAAUGUGCCAUUCAUGUGCUGCACAUCAACGGUUUUAACCCCCACUGUCUACGCAGGAGACCAGUUGAGGAGCAGAGUAACGGUUCACCUUCUGAAGUUGUUCAGUGGUCCAACCACAGAGUGAUGGAAUGGCUCAGAUCAGUCGACCUGGCAGAAUACGCACCGAACCUUCGAGGAAGUGGAGUGCACGGUGCCCUGAUUCUUCUUGAACCUCGCUUCAAUGGUGACACGCUGGCGAUGCUGCUGAAUAUUCCCCCUCAGAAGACACUGCUGCGGCGGCACCUGACGACCAAUUUCAAUGUAUUAAUUGGACCAGAGGCUCAACAAGAGAAGAGAGAAAUAACGGAGUCCACAGCAUACACACCUCUCACCACCACUGCCAAAGUCCGGCCAAGAAAACUUGGAUUUUCACAUUUUGGAAACUUAAGGAAAAAGAAAUUUGAUGAAUCAACAGACUACAUUUGUCCUAUGGAUACAAACCCAGGUGCUACAAAUGGUUCUCAGAAAAACUACAGUGGAUACAAAGGCCUUAGUCCUGUCACUGACAGGGAGCUGGAUCAGGUGGGACAGACAGACUGAUGCCAUUCUCAUCUCAUCUCAUCCUCUCCAUGCAUUCCAAAGCUUUGCAAAUAACCAAAUGUUAGCAUGCAACAAAGUAUUUGCUGCAUCCGCAUGAACUUACUUACUGAGAAAGUACUGGCUGUGGACACUAGAAAGAGUUCUAUACUAAGAAUGUCAGGUUAAUUUUUUUAAUCAAUAUCAUAUAAACUCAUCCAUCUUCAAGCCCUUUUUCAGGUACGUGACACCUUUACACUAUGAAGAUCGAUGUAUUUUGACAGUUCAGGUGGUGGUGGUGGCAGGAAACAAGACUUGUACUUCUAGCUUGCAUAAUCUCAAUAUGGCACACUACUUUUUUCAUGAUCUAUCUUUAUGGGUGGUUUUUAAAUGUAAUAAAUUUAUUUGGACUGAUUUGUACAAAGCUAUCAAGUUAUAUAUUAAAUGACAACUGGAUUGUAUAUUUUUAAAAGACAUUAAUCAAAGAAUCCAACUGAAUUUUUCUUCCAUUAUGUACAGUGGGGAGUAGUUUUGCUUAGAAGGGUGUAUGUGAAAACAAUGCAUCAGUAAUGAACAAGAUUAUUAAUAAACCAAUACUGAAAUAAUUCACUUUUGUUAUGUAGUAGUGAACUUGUGCAUGAAACUCUCCAGACAUCACACAGACUAAUGAGGAAGACUAAAACCCAUCAAAUUUUAUUCAACUUUGCUGUUGUGUAAAGGGAUGCAAACCCUGAAAAACGGAGCUCCUGGAGCCUUGUGUGAACUUCAGCAACACACAAGAGCCAGACAGAGGCAGCUGGGGUGAACUGCCCUAUCUCCACUGGUGCCUGACGUGAGAUAAAAUCAUUUUAAGCGUGAUAAGAGAAUGGUCACAAAAUUGAAAAGACUAACUGUGAAGGUAACUUUUCAUAUGCAUGGUUUACUGCAUCUAACAUCUCAUCAUUGGUGUUCACUACCUAACCAUUGUCUUUUUCCAUGUUAAUUGAAAGUUUUACUUUCGUAAAUGAAGUACCGUUCCGCAGCAGGGUCAGUAGUGAAUCCUGACUGUAACUGAGCAUGGAUGUGCGCCUGCAUAGCGAAGAGUUGCAAGUGACUGCAGUAACUUUGAGCCAAGAGCUUACACUAAGCACUUGUUCAGGCAGUACCAAAAUCCUGGAUUUUCCUCUAGGAGCAUGGUCUUUCAAUUAAGUGUGACUUCUGAGGAUGCACUCAUGCAGGGAAAUCUCAGUGCCCUAGAACUGAUAAUCUUUUAUCUAAGUGUAGGUGGGACUGUAUCAUGAAGGACUCUUGCUUCUUGCCUGUCAAAGAUGACUACCAGAAGUAUAAGAAGUGUUACACCAUCAGGAAAAUAUUACUCUCUAUUGUCUAAGUUAAACUUUUUCUUUCCUUCUGUGAAUUACAGCUCAAGUUUCAUGGAAUCAGUCUUUCUUAACCAGGAUUCACUCUUCCAACAGUUAAAUGUGUUUCACAUACCUUUUAGCAUGGAGGCUUUUCCAUGAACGUGCAGAAAUUGGAACUUUUAAACUCACAACUUCACUUGUCCAAGCACAGAUACCUCCCAAAGAUGCACAUAGAGUGAAUCAAAUUGCACAUACUGAUUUGAACUCAUUCCUGAAUACUUUUACAGAUGGAACAUUCAGAAGGAACAGUAAUGCAAAUAGGGGCUCUUUCUCAAGGCAUAAGCCAUCUUACGACGAUGUUAAGCCAAGAUGAAAUGCUGAAUGACAGCAGAUUUUUAACACCUACCUUUGAAGACUGGAGAUGAUGUUUCAGCGUGACCAAGAACACCACCAAUACCUCAUGCCUGUCCAGAGGGGUGGGCCAGGAGAAGCUUGAUGCUGUCCGCAGAAAAGCUUUAUGCCUUUUCUGCCAAUUAGGCUUACCACAGAGCAUUUAAUGCUGUCAAUGUAGCAAUGCAAUACAGGUAACUCUCCUCCACACUCUCCUCCACAUGAUUUUCUUUAUUGCGUAAUGUGAAAUAGGUGUUGAGAGAGAAUACUCACAGCAGACUCUGGAAAGCUGAGGCUGGCACCACCCUUCUAUUCAGUCGUCUUUUACAUGGUAUGUUUACAUACUGUAUAUGAAAGAUAUUUUGUCAUUUUUUAUUUUUAUAAUCACUUGUAAUGCAGGAAUCAUUAAUACUCCGUUGUACCAGGUGGACUAAUCAGAGCUACCUAGACAUUCAGAUGGAUGCUGGUGAGUACUGGCUCACCAACUACUGCUGCAGUCCUGCCAGAGACUGUUUCCCAUAAAAGGAUUUUAAUCUCUCACCCCUUUCAUCAGCACAUGUCCUGCCCUCUUUUUAUCUAAGUAAGUAAGUGCAGUGUAGAAAAGGAGGAAUAGAACAUAAUGGUAUCCAUCAAGGCCUUGCUUUUAUCAGGAUGAUGACAAGAUGACAUGUUCACAAAUCUUGACCUAACUGAAAAAGAUGCUGAACAACUCCAGCAGGAAAUGUAACUUUGAGGCUGCGAAACUGACGCACUCAAAAGCUGGUGCUUCAUUUGACAUGAUGGUUUUUUAAUAGUGCGAUCUUUACAUGUGCACUGAGAUGGUCACUAUCAAGGAGAAAUCACAGCAUCUAAUUAAUGUGAAACAUAACUUUAAGAAAGGUGUUUAGGGUGAGUGCAACAGAAUAUCCAGCAUGAUCCAUGGCCUGGUUUUACAUGACAGGUCUUUAACCAGAACUACCGAAUGGGCUCUGUCUGUACAUUGAUGUUUUGUCCACAAUGGCUAGUAUCGACACACGUGUGCAAGCAUCAGGAUGCUCAUAAGCCUUCUGAACAGCCAAAAUGGUUCAGACCAAGUUUUCUGAGCCCUAACACAGAACUGGCUCUCAGGAAGACAGGAAUGGUAAUAAACCUAUUUCUUAAUUAAAUGUAUGGCUGCAAACAGUCCUGAGGACUGGAGAUGACAGUAGAAACACUUUUGUAAUGUUUGCAUGACAACUGGAGAUGUUGUAAAUGGUAGAACUGAAAGUGAACAGCACUCUUUUCAUUCCAGCUAUGUCUAGAUUUUCAUAGAAUACUCUGUUUAGCAAUAGGAGACAAACAUUAUUGCUUUGUAAAGUAUAAAAUGCCACUAAGGAGCAUCAGGCAAGCACAAUAAUAAAAUAAAUAGUUGUUUCUUUAAAACAGCUGACAAAAGAGAGCUGUUGCUAUUCUACUGAGCAUUGUGAAAGAGGAAAACACAGCCUCUCAUUACUUACUUGAGGGGCUGUUCACGGGUGAAGGUGUCUCCUUCACAGUAGCAGUUACUCGUGGCAUCAGUUGACAUGUGCCUUUCGUGUAUUAAUAAGGAAUUAACAAGUUAUCUUAGUUAACAGGGAAAUGCCAGAAAAGAAAUUGGCUCAAUUGUGAAGACUUAGCAAGUAUAUGGGUGGUUUGCAUUACUCUUUCUCCUGAAGGGUGUUGGUUUACAUAUUGAUAUAGCCCGAGGGUAGCCACAACACUCUCAGGUAAAGGCGAAAUAUCUGGUACUGUCCCAAGUAUGCAGCAAGGGCUCUUCCAGAGCUGUCAGUGGCACUUUUAAAAAGUGACCUAUUCUGCUCCUCACUCCCUGAGGCUCUCAUGAGAGACCCUGCACACUACAGUCAGAUUUUAGAAGCUAAACACGUGAUUUUAUUGUCCAAAAUGGUGAAACCACAGCAAAUUAUUUUUCAAUCAUUUGAACAAUGACAUGAUAAUGGAAAAUUCAAAGGAACGAGAAACCAGUCUACACAUCAGCCAACUAAAAAUGCUUAAUAAAAGGAAUUAAAUGUACCAGUCCAGUACAUCUCCCCUCUGGCAAUGCAAUCAACACUAGUGACCAUGUGCUACGGGCAUGUGAAAUACUUUGCUGGGUUAAUUAGCCAGCAGACUUAUUACAGCACUACAGAUAAACCAAGCUGCUCUAACAAAGGCAGCCCUAAUAUCACUGGGAUAUUCCAAGCAGAUUUUCUGUUUUCUUUUGAUGAUAUAUUUAUAACUGUGUGGUGUUGUGCUAACUUGGUUGUGAAUAGUCAAUCUACAAAGUUAUUGGUAUUCUUAAAAUAUGUAAGUAUUCUAGUAUUCUAGUAAGAAAUCCUAACUAGCAUAACACUGGCAUAAAUGCUUAUUUUUUUGGCUGUUAUGAAUAAAUGCUGAAUGUUCCUCCA